GUCCUGAUAGCUUAACACAAAGCACCGGUCUUGUAAGCCGGAGACUGGGGGCUAACUCCCCCCUCAAGACU
rnacentral:tRNA from 1 species